UGGCUCCCACAGCCCCUUCGGCCAGGGGUCCGGCGAUGACCAGGGCUUCAGCCUCCCCGUUUCCGUGAGCGGCUGGCAUUACGCUCAGGAAGACGGCUGCUGGGAAGGCUGACGUCCAGAGGGCUUGCAUCUCUGGUCGGGCAUUUUAAAAAUCGCUUUGCACACCCAAGGGGGAAGAGUCACGUCUUCCAGAAUGCUCACCGGAAUGGUGAAGGAGCCCGGACUCCUACGGGUCCAGCCGAAUUAGCCCGGAAACCUCAGGAAGAGGUGAGCCGCUCAUUUUUAAUCCUCUUCCUCUGGCUGUACCCCACUCCAGCACGGACCCCGAGCUUUCCUUCGAGUCACAGCUAAACUCCUCCACGGCCGUGCGUGUCCCCAGCACCUGCACUGCACACAGCGCCGGGUUGGCCCGGCAAAGGCGUGCCCGGCCUGUCACGGCUCCACCGCACGGCAUCUGCUGGUUCUCAUCUUCCCCGACCUGCGCAUAACGCUCACCCAUCAUUGAUUUAUCCAAGACAGGCGCACGGGGCAGAGAAUGACAGAGCGAACACGCCUGUCACAUGAGCCGAGGUUCUCCAGAGAGACGGAACCGACAGGUAAAACUUAACCACGCGGCUCAAACACCAUGCGUUUAGGACACGGAACAGCACGGUCGGAGCCCGUCCUCUGUCCUGUCGUCCCGGAGGAAAGGCUCUGUGGAGCUCCGUGUCGGUCGCCUGCGUGCCCGGCUUUACGCUUUUACGGCCGUAUCCGCCGUGUUUGCGUCCGAACUCCGUGGCUGGGGCCACACCGUGUCCAUUCUCCUACGGCUUUCUGUCUCGACUCACGUUAUAUUUGUGUCAUCUCAGUGACAACCCGGCUUCUAACCCCAGGGCUCCCUGCUUCUGAGUCACCCCGAGAUGGACAGCCACCAUGUGACUGCAUAUCUUAGCUCUCGCCACCGAAGCUUCUUGUGGUGUCACUCCCUGGUCUGGGCCCUGCCCAUGGCUUGGACGUGGCCUCUGGCGCGUCCUGCCCACUGCUGUGGGGACGCCAAGGUCAUCCUUCCCCACUAGGAACUGAUCUUAGCCAAACCUCACCUGAUGGCCUGGAUCGACCUUCCUGCCUGUGGCAGGUUAUGUUUUCCAAAAUAGGCCUGAAUGCCGCCUCCCACCCCACACGGCCUUCUGGGGCCUUGCCACCUACACGUGGGGAGGUGGCAUCUGCGUCCCCCUUUCCUUGAAGCUGGGGGGGGCUCCGAGACGGUGUCAACUGGGACAGCCUGGGGAGUUCUGCCAUGCGCCUCCGAGGCUGGGUCACACAGGCGGGAUGGUGACCCCUGCCUCCCUCCUGGCAACCCAGCUGCCACGUGUGAAGGACCAGGCCUCACCAAGAGACAUGUAGGGGUCCCCCAUGUGAUGGGUCCCAAGCUAGAACCAUCUGGCUGAGCUCAGGGGACCCAGAACCGUGAGAGAGAAAAGGAAGUGACUGUUGUUUUCAGCUGCUAAGUUGGGGAGCUUCGUCGUCCCCCAACGACAGUAACAGGAACGCUGUCUGUCUCCACCUGUCAGCUGCCUGCUGCCCUUUAUGGCCCAGCUCCUUAGCACAGGGCAUCGGCGCAAGCAGAGCGGGUCCCCGAUUCCCGCCGUGAGGAGUCCCCUCCUAAGCUGACCGCCCAGCACCUCUGCCGCGUUCGGUGCACACCUCACCACCCCCCAGAAAGUCCCGAGUCAGACUCCUGGCACCCAGCAUGAUGCUGGGCACAGAGCGGGUGCUCGUGGCUCCGUCUGGAUGGACAACAGGGGCCAGAACACCUGCCAGUGGGGGGGGGGGGGACAGCCUGAGUUACGAAACGGAGCUCGCACUCACUUCAGAGGCCUCUGACCCACCGGUGUCCCAGGACAGUUGGCUUCUCUGCUGGACACCUAGGACAUCUCCAGUGAGAGAAAAGACUGGAAGCCUCGAGUGGUCUUGCGGGAUAAAGGAUGUGUCGGCUGGGCUUCCUCACGCAGCUGCACAGUCAGCGGCCGGGCCAUGGAGGCGCCAUUCCCAACGUCGCCAGCAGGCGGCAGCCCUGCUCCUGUUUUUCACUGCAAACUGUGAGCUGAAUUUCUUAAACACUAACUGAGUACUGGCAGGAGGCGCUGUGUGGGCCGCAAAGGCUAAGCUACGUCCUGCGUUCUGACACCUUCCCAGCAAGCGGGCUCGGUCUCCUGAGCUCGUCUUCGGGUUGCUGACUCCGAAAGUCGACUGAGCCUGUUGGGACAGAGGCGGCCAAGGUCUGGCUUAAAGCUCGGUCACGUCCAAUGUACUGCGCUGCUUUAAACUUCUGCUGUCCGGCCAGGUGACCACAGAGAAGGUGGGAGCAGCAAAGGUGGACGGGAGAACAGCUGCACGGACCGGAACUGAUGGUCACAGGAACCUCUUCAGAGCCUCCAGCCUCCGACGGCCGGUCUCCCCGGGCCGGUGGCGCACGCAGGUCCCCUUCUGCUCCCAGCUGCCCCGUGUCCCUGCCCACACUCUUGGGAGCCAUCCCACCGGCCAGGCCUGUUUUCAGAGGCGGCAGCAUGGAGGCUGCAGAGGGAGCUGGCCCCGCCCCGCCCAGGCCCCGGGGAAGGGAAGAGGGAGCCGUCACCUAACAGCGCGUCCAGCCAGUUUCACAGUCCUCAAUGACCGUGAGUUCCUGGGUCACUUUUCAGGGUCCCCUGGAACACUCCCUCUGUCCCUUUGCAGCUGGUGUCCCCUUUUCCUGCCUCCCAGCAUUUUAUCCUCCGACAUGGACGCCCAGAAUUCCUGGCCUGUGUGUGUGCCCCUGGCCGGCAGGCUCAUGUCGCCUGCAAACUCCCAGAGUUUCUAGGACCCCUCCCUGGGACUGCAGAUUCAGAGACCGAGGGCCCAGGGCCUCCUCUGACCCGGCUCGUCACGGCCUCACAGCUCAGAGCCAGACCCAGAGCUGGACACAGCCUCGGAGUCACCGUGCGCCCCGCGCUUGUCCAGAGCCACACAGAGCGGCUCUGGCUGCGCUGUCCCCGCAGAGCUGGGGCUGCCGGCUGGGUGGGCCAGUGCGGGCAGGGUCAUAUAACUGAGGUCAGCCCGAAGAAGUAUCUCCGCCCUGAGGGGCUUUCGCCCUGUGUGCCGCCCCAGCGACUGAUGGCGUUCCUGUGAUUUCGACAUCAGACUCAGCCCUGUUUGUGCAGCGGAUGACCCUGGCGCACCUUCGGCCACCUCAAAGGCCUCCCCGACCUGCUGAGUCUUCUUUACAUGCCGACGGGCAGUCCGAGCCCAAGCCUGGGGGCUCGGCUGCAUGCAGAGAGCACGGCGUGACCGAAAGGUGGGAGUUUUGGGAAAACAGACGACAAGGCGGGACCUGCCCGGCUCCUUUAUCUCCAGCUCUGUCCGGACAGCUCCGAUGACGUGAGCUCUGGCACGGCCUCUGGAUGAACACGCAGGCGAUCAGAUGUCCAGGUUUGCCUGGGGCAGGCCGGUGGCCUUAGUGGAAUUCUGAAGACAGACAUACCUUCUGUACUGCACUUCGCAGACACUGUGUUUUUUUUACAAAAUGAACGUAAUACCCUCCACCAGCAAAAACAUUACAACUUGCCGAAGGCUCCGACGAUGCUCAUUUUACAGCGAGGAAGCGUUUUUUAAAGUUAAGGACGUUUCACAGCACAGGUGGCCUUGUCCUCAUCGGGGAAUUCCACCUGAGGACUAACUCAGACCAAAGAAGGAAGGGCAGCCGUUUGCCCUUCUGCAAAAUCUGGGGAAGAUGCGGAAUCCUGAAUCCUGAGCGAGAGCCGAAGGGAGGGAGCGUGGUCCCGUGAGAGCGUCUUUGGGCGGGAAGCCCACGGAGUCUGGCCGGUUGCGGUCUGGGGGUUUAAUUCACGAACCUGUUUGUUUGUCUGUCGCUGGCUCAGUGCGAGAAUGACCAGGUUUCUCUUCCUGCCCUGGUUGGGUGCUUCGAGAUAUCCUAAUCUUGGAGAACCUUGUUUAUAGGAAGGGCCUGGCCAAAGGUGUUUCUGAAGGCAGAGAGCAAGACACACCUAGCUAAA